rnacentral:tRNA from 1 species
AAGUGAGAAGCAAAGAUUGCAACCAGUUUCGACCUGGUCUUAGGUAAUAGCCCUUACCCUCACUUU